rnacentral:rRNA from 1 species
AAUGAACGUUGGCGGCGUGGAUUAGGCAUGCAAGUCGAGCGAGAACCCCGCAAGGGGGGACAGCGGCGAAAGGGACAGUAAUGUGUAGAUUAUCUGCCCUCAGGUCCGGGAUAGCUGCGGGAAACUGCAGGUAAUACCGGAUAACAUCUCCGGAUCAAAGGUGUGAUUCCGCCUGAGGAUGAGUCUGCAUCCUAUUAGCUAGUUGGUGGGGUAAUGGCCUACCAAGGCAUUGGUGGGUAGCAGGUGUGAGAGCACGACCUGCGUCAUUGGGACUGAGACACUGCCCAGACACCUACGGGUGGCUGCAGUCGAGAAUCUUCGGCAAUGGGCGCAAGCCUGACCGAGCGACGCCGCGUGUGGGAUGAAGGCCUUCGGGUUGUAAACCACUGUCAGAGGGGAUGAAAUGCAGGUGGGUUCUCCCAUCUGUUUGACAUAGCCUCAGAGGAAGGACGGGCUAAGUUCGUG